GCUUAACACAUGCAAGUCGAACGGUAACAUAGGAGCUUGCUCCUGAUGACGAGUGGCGGACGGGUGCGUAACGCGUAGGAAUCUGCCUAUUAGUGGGGGACAACAUGGUGAAAACCAUGCUAAUACCGCAUACGCCCUACGGGGGAAAGCGGGGGAUCUUCGGACCUCGCGCUAAUAGAUGAGCCUGCGUUAGAUUAGCUAGUUGGUGAGGUAAAGGCUCACCAAGGCGACGAUCUAUAGCUGGUCUGAGAGGACGAUCAGCCACACUGGGACUGAGACACGGCCCAGACUCCUACGGGAGGCAGCAGUGGGGAAUAUUGGACAAUGGGCGAAAGCCUGAUCCAGCAAUACCGCGUGUGUGAAGAAGGCCUGAGGGUUGUAAAGCACUUUCAAUUGGGAGGAAAACAGGCAGGUUAACAUCCUGUCUCUUGACAUUACCUUUAGAAGAAGCACCGGCUAACUCCGUGCCAGCAGCCGCGGUAAUACGGAGGGUGCGAGCGUUAAUCGGAAUUACUGGGCGUAAAGAGUUCGUAGGCGGUAAGUUAAGUUAGAUGUGAAAGCCCCGGGCUUAACCUGGGAACUGCAUUUAAAACUGGCUUACUCGAGUUUAGUAGAGGGAAGUGGAAUUUCAGGUGUAGCAGUGAAAUGCGUAGAGAUCUGAAGGAACACCAGUGGCGAAGGCGACUUCCUGGACUAAAACUGACGCUGAGGAACGAAAGCGUGGGUAGCAAACGGGAUUAGAUACCCCGGUAGUCCACGCCGUAAACGAUGUCAACUAGCCGUUGGGUCUAUUCGUAGACUUAGUGGCGGAGCUAACGUAUUAAGUUGACCGCCUGGGG
rnacentral:rRNA from 1 species